rnacentral:rRNA from 1 species
UACGUAGGCAGCAAGCGUUGUUCGGAGUUACUGGGCGUAAAGGGUGCGUAGGCGGUUGUUUAAGUUUGGUGUGAAAUCUCCCGGCUCAACUGGGAGGGUGCGCCGAAUACUGAGUGACUAGAGUGCGGGAGAGGAUAGUGGAAUUCCUGAUGUAGCGGUGAAAUGCGUAGAUAUCCGGAGGAACACCAAAGGCGAAGGCAGUGUCCUGGGGAGUACCUGACGCUCAGGUGCGAAAGCCAGGGGAGCGAACGGG